UUUAACAAUAUAUGAGCAUUUAUGCUCCUGGAGACCAUUCAAGCUGUAGUCAAAGCUUUGGUGUUCUGUGUUUUAGCCUCUUGGUUACGAAUAAGUGAAUGUUGCUGAUGUGGUAGGGGCUGGUAUUCUCAGGAAAACAAGCCUGAAACACCUCCAUAUCAUUGUGCUGCUUUUGCUCCUGAAGGAAUCACACUCGUAUCCUCAUCUUUUUUCUGCCUUUUUUUUUUUUUUGUAGCUUUCUGCAGGAUCUUUGAAGAACGAUUUCAGCCUGAAAUGAACCAUCUUCAACUUGUGUUGCUGGUGGAAGGAGGACUCCAGGCAUCCCACAGACUUCACACCAGAAAAUGAUCACUACUACAAAGGAGAAGUUUGCCAGCAGUUUGUUACCGGAGUGCUGUCUAACAUCAGCAUGGAAGGGUGAGCAAGACUACAUCAGCCCAUUUCCAGGUCCUCAAGAGGCCAGUGUCAAGCCACGCACGAUGCAGAAAGGGCUCCCACUCAGACACAAAUGACUGUUUUCAGUCUUAAACUACGACCACAAAGUUGCUAAGAAGACACUUUCAGUAGCUGUGAAAGCCUUUCAUAUAACCUUCAGCUUUAUUCAGCUCCUGCACAAAUAAAACAGAAUGGCAGAGAAGAUGAGAAAAAUCAUAUUUACGAGAGAAAAAAAAAAUAACUUACUUUGGGAUUUUAUUUCAUGAAGAGGUUUUUUAUCUGAGAGAGAGAGAGAGAGAGAAAGUUGCACUUAAUAAAUUUACAUGGAGCAUUAUCUGUUUCCUCUAUCGCUUCUGUGUAGCUCUAGACAUGAAACAUCGUCUCCUUGUUUGCUGACAAUAUGAAUAUUUUAUGUUGUCCAUAUUUUUACCUUCAUUUUUUUUUCCCCUUUCUUUUUUUCUAAAUCUCUUUCAGGAUGAUUUGAUGUUUCUUUGCAGUAAUUUCUCCCUUGGUUAAUUCAGGUAUUUGCUAGUUUUAUUGGGUGCUUUGAUUGGGAAUAUUAUACAGCAGUAAGGGAAGUUCAGUACUUUGAAGCAGCUCAUGUGGCAAAGAAAGUCAGUUAAGAAUUAAUUAUUUCUUUAUGUGUUUGAUAGAUGGAAAGGUGAUGGACAAUUAAACAGGUAAUUUAUAAAAUAUAAACAUGUACAAUAUAUUCACGUUUAUGUAUCUAAAUAUGGCAUCUAUAAUUUAAUAUAUAAUAACGGCAUCUAUAUGUGUAUAAAAACAACACACAGAUCAAUAACUACCACCGCACAUGCAAUUAUAUUUGAGUUCUAAGGAAAUUCCCUUUGAGUUGUUCCCCAAUUUAUCUUUUGGAUGUUUCUGGAUGAAGGAUCUGGGACUGGCUUCCUCAGGGGUGGGUUAUCAGCACAACCAC